UUUGUGCUCUUUGGUCGGGCCAAGGGAGCACGGUAAGAGCCAGCCGCCGCAAGGGGAUGGCCCCCUUGCGGAAGAACCCUGUUAGCUUAC
rfam:Thermus thermophilus HB8 genomic DNA, complete genome.